AUUGAACGCUGGCGGCAGGCCUAACACAUGCAAGUCGAGCGGAUGAGUGGAGCUUGCUCCAUGAUUCAGCGGCGGACGGGUGAGUAAUGCCUAGGAAUCUGCCUGGUAGUGGGGGACAACGUUUCGAAAGGAACGCUAAUACCGCAUACGUCCUACGGGAGAAAGUGGGGGAUCGUCGGACCUCACGCUAUCAGAUGAGCCUAGGUCGGAUUAGCUAGUUGGUGAGGUAAAGGCUCACCAAGGCGACGAUCCGUAACUGGUCUGAGAGGAUGAUCAGUCACACUGGAACUGAGACACGGUCCAGACUCCUACGGGAGGCAGCAGUGGGGAAUAUUGGACAAUGGGCGAAAGCCUGAUCCAGCCAUGCCGCGUGUGUGAAGAAGGUCUUCGGAUUGUAAAGCACUUUAAGUUGGGAGGAAGGGCAGUAAGUUAAUACCUUGCUGUUUUGACGUUACCAACAGAAUAAGCACCGGCUAACUUCGUGCCAGCCGCCGCAGUAAAAC
rnacentral:rRNA from 1 species